UCCGACGUGGUGUAGUGGCUAGCAUACUGCGCUUUCACCGCAGCGAUCCGGGUUCGACUCCCGGCGCCGGAA
rnacentral:tRNA from 3 species